AUUGAACGCUGGCGGUAGGCCUAACACAUGCAAGUCGAACGGCAGCACAGUAAGAGCUUGCUAUUACGGGUGGCGGGUGGCGGACGGGUGAGGAAUACGUCGGAAUCUACUUUUUCGUGGGGGAUAACGUAGGGAAACUUACGCUAAUACCGCAUAAGACCUACGGGUGAAAGCAGGGGAUCUUCGGACCUUGCGCGAUUGAAGGAGCCGAUGUCGGAUUAGCUAGUUGGCGGGGUAAAGGCCCACCAAGGCGACGAUCCGUAGCUGGUCUGAGAGGAUGAUCAGCCACACUGGAACUGAGACACGGUCCAGACUCCUACGGGAGGCAGCAGUGGGGAAUAUUGGACAAUGGGCGCAAGCCUGAUCCAGCCAUACCGCGUGGGUGAAGAAGGCCUUCGGGUUGUAAAGCCCUUUUGUUGGGAAAGAAAAGCAGUAGGUUAAUACCCCGCUGUUAUGACGGUACCCAAAGAAUAAGCACCGGCUAACUUCGUG
rnacentral:rRNA from 1 species